rnacentral:rRNA from 2 species
UACGAAGGGGGCUAGCGUUGUUCGGAAUUACUGGGCGUAAAGCGCACGUAGGCGGACAUUUAAGUCAGGGGUGAAAUCCCGGGGCUCAACCCCGGAACUGCCUUUGAUACUGGGUGUCUUGAGUCCGAGAGAGGUGAGUGGAAUUCCGAGUGUAGAGGUGAAAUUCGUAGAUAUUCGGAGGAACACCAGUGGCGAAGGCGGCUCACUGGCUCGGUACUGACGCUGAGGUGCGAAAGCGUGGGGAGCAAACAGG